GUGCUCAUUUCUGCAGCACCUAUACUAAAGAAUUCAGAGAUUAGCAUGGCCCCUGGGCAAGGAUGACAUGCAAAAUUCAUAAAGAUCUCCAUAUUUGG
rnacentral:snRNA from 1 species